rnacentral:lncRNA from 1 species
AUACAUGAUCGGCUCUUGUCUAGCAUCGUCGACUCUCUUAGCGGUGAUGGCUAGCUUACGGUUCUACCCAGCGUAGUCUGGUUUUCUCCUUUUUCUGUUUCAGCUUUGUUUCUUUUCCGGCGUGUCCGGAUUUAUUUUCUUUUGAGUUUAUAUCACGGUUUCUUUCAAACCGUUGAUUUGUGUGUAAAAACUCAAUAGGAUUUGUGUGUUGGUGAUGGCAUUUGUGGCGAUUUUCUGCUCAAAAUGAUCUAAAAAUUCCAAUCUAUCAUUUGGGUUUGAGGUUUACGGAUGAUGAUUAGGCAAUUUGCGAUUUCAGUUGAAGAUUCAAAGUUCAUUCCUCAGCUUAUUACUAUUGCCUUUAGCUGUAUCUUUUAUGUUAAGCUUCGAUUGGUUUUAGUCAACAGAGGUGGAUUAAUAGGAGAUCUUAUUCUCUUUUGAGAUUAAUGGAUCUAUAUUAGAUCCUUACUUCUGUUUUGCAGUUGUUGGAGAAAUACAAAAACAUCUAUCUUCGAUUUUCAUUCGAUACUAGUUUCAUUCUCCGGCGGAAUCGAUGGCUUCAACGGCGAAGGACGAUGACGGAAAACUUUUAGUCUCCUCAUGUUACACGUAUCUUUGAUGUUGACACGUGUCUUGAGAUAUUUUCAUUCGAUCUAAUCUUCUUCUCUAAGUGAUGCAAUGUUGGGCCAGUUGGAUUUAUUUAGUCUCUGUAAACCGUUGUAUGUUGUUGGGUUUUUGCUCGGUAGCUGUUUAUAAUGUUUAUAUCAAUAAAAUCUUUUCUUGUGAAAAAAAAAAAAG